UACGGAGGGUGCAAGCGUUAUCCGGAGUUAUUGGGCUUAAAGGGUGCGUAGGUGGGUGGGUAAGUCAGUGGUGAAAUCUUCAAGCUUAACUUGGAAACUGCCAUUGAUACUAUUUAUCUUGAAUACUUUGGAGGUAAGCGGAAUAUGUCAUGUAGCGGUGAAAUGCUUAGAUAUGACAUAGAACACCAAUUGCGAAGGCAGCUUACUACACAGUUAUUGACACUGAGGCACGAAAGCGUGGGGAUCAAACAGG
rnacentral:rRNA from 1 species